rnacentral:rRNA from 1 species
UACGGAGGGUGCAAGCGUUAUCCGGAAUCAUUGGGUUUAAAGGGUCCGCAGGCGGGCAUAUAAGUCAGUGGUGAAAGGCUACAGCUCAACUGUAGACCUGCCAUUGAUACUGUAAGUCUUGAAUUCCCUUGAAGUGGGCGGAAUGUGUAGUGUAGCGGUGAAAUGCAUAGAUAUUACACAGAACACCGAUAGCGAAGGCAGCUCACUAGGCCUGGAUUGACGCUCAGGGACGAAAGCGUGGGGAUCAAACAGGAUUAGAUACCCUGGUAGUCCACGCUGUAAACGAUGAUUACUCGUUUUCGGCGAUAUACAGUCGGAGACUAAGCGAAAGUGAUAAGUAAUCCACCUGGGGAGUACGAUCGCAAGAUUG